UACGGAGGGUGCAAGCGUUGCUCGGAAUCAUUGGGCGUAAAGCGUACGCAGGCUGUUCGUUAAGUCGGGUGUGAAAGCCCGGGGCUCAACCCCGGAAAUGCGCCCGAAACUGGCGAGCUUGAGUGCGGGAGAGGGAAGCGGAACUCCUGGCGUAGCGGUGGAAUGCGCAGAUAUCAGGAAGAACACCGGUGGCGAAGGCGGCUCUCUGGGCCUUACCUGACGCUGAGGAGCGAAAGCGUGGGUAGCGAACAGG
rnacentral:rRNA from 1 species